GGAGAACACGCGAUCUGCCUGUCGAAUUGCAGCGACAAGUCGUUAUUCGUGCGUUCCAGCUUGGGUUGGACCCAUUUGACUACGUUGAACACAUCGACGCGGAAGCCGAAGAGAUGAUAGGUGAA
rnacentral:ribozyme from 1 species